rnacentral:ncRNA from 1 species
UUUUGAACUUUAGUGAGUAGGAAGGUACAAUGGUAUGCGUAGAAGUGUUUGGCGUAAGCCUUCAUGGAGCUGCCAUUGGCACAGAUCUUGGUGGUAGUAGCAAAUAAUCGAAUGAGACCUUGGAGGACUGAAGUGGAGAAGGGUUUCGUGUGAACAGUGGUCGAUCGAGUUAGUCGGUCCUAAGUUCAAGGCGAAAGCCGAAAAUUUUCAAGUAAAAAAUCAGUGAGUAAUAUUGUCAAAUCUUUUAUGAUUUUUAAAUACUUGAAUAAUUUUGAACGAAAGGGAAUACGGUUCCAAUUCCGUAACCUGUUGAGUAUCCGUUUGUUAUUAAAUAUGGGCCUCGUGCUCAUCCUGGCAACAGGAACGACCAUAAAGAAGCCGUCGAGAGAUAUCGGAAGAGUUUUCUUUUCUGUUUUAUAGCCGUACUACCAUGGAAGUCUUUCGCAGAGAGAUAUGGUAGAUGGGCUAGAAGAGCAUGACAUAUACUGUUGUGUCGAUAUUUUCUCCUCGGACCUUGAAAAUUUAUGGUGGGACACGCAAACUUCUCAACAGGCCGUACCAAUAUCCGCAGCUGGUCUCCAAGGUGAAGAGUCUCUAGUCGAUAGAAUAAUGUAGGUAAGGGAAGUCGGCAAAUUAGAUCCGUAACUUCGGGAUAAGGAUUGGCUCUGAAGAUUGAGAUAGUCGGGCUUGAUUGGGAAACAAUAACAUGGUUUAUGUGCUCGUUCUGGGUAAAUAGAGUUUCUAUCAUUUAUGGUAGUUACUUGUUCCCCGGAUAGUUUAGUUAAGUAGCCAAUUGUGGAACUUUCUUGCUAAAAUUUUUAAGAAUACUAAUUGGGUUAAACCAGUUAGUUCUUAUUAAUUAUAACGAUUAUCAAUUAACAAUCAAUUCAGAACUGGCACGGACUUGGGGAAUCCGACUGUCUAAUUAAAACAAAGCAUUGUGAUGGCCCUAGCGGGUGUUGACACAAUGUGAUUUCUGCCCAGUGCUCUGAAUGUCAAAGUGAAGAAAUUCAAGUAAGCGCGGGUCAACGGCGGUAGUAACUAUGACUCUCUUUAAUCACUUUAUAUCGCAACUUUAGAUAUAAGCAAAGCAUUUGACUCGGUGUCUCAUGCAGCAGUUAGCGCCACUCUAACUGCAUAUGGUGCCCCUAAAGAAUUCGUUGACUACGU